rnacentral:rRNA from 1 species
AAUCCAUAGGUUAAUGAGGCGAACCGGGGGAACUGAAACAUCUAAGUACCCCGAGGAAAAGAAAUCAACCGAGAUUCCCCCAGUAGCGGCGAGCGAACGGGGAGGAGCCCAGAGCCUGAAUCAGCAUGUGUGUUAGUGGAAGCGUCUGGAAAGGCGCGCGAUACAGGGUGACAGCCCCGUACACAAAAGCGCAUGUGCUGUGAGCUCGAUGAGUAGGGCGGGACACGUGGUAUCCUGUCUGAAUAUGGGGGGACCAUCCUCCAAGGCUAAAUACUCCUGACUGACCGAUAGUGAACCAGUACCGUGAGGGAAAGGCGAAAAGAACCCCGGCGAGGGGAGUGAAAAAGAACCUGAAACCGUGUACGUACAAGCAGUGGGAGCACAGGUUUACCUGUGUGACUGCGUACCUUUUGUAUAAUGGGUCAGCGACUUAUAUUCUGUAGCAAGGUUAACCGUAUAGGGGAGCCGGAGGGAAACCGAGUCUUAACCGGGCGUUAAGUUGCAGGGUAUAGACCCGAAACCCGGUGAUCUAGCCAUGGGCAGGUUGAAGGUUGGGUAACACUAACUGGAGGACCGAACCGACUAAUGUUGAAAAAUUAGCGGAUGACCUGUGGCUGGGGGUGAAAGGCCAAUCAAACCGGGAGAUAGCUGGUUCUCCCCGAAAGCUAUUUAGGUAGCGCCUCGUGAACUCAUCUCCGGGGGUAGAGCACUGUUUCGGCUAGGGGGCCAUCCCGGCUUACCAACCCGAUGCAAACUGCGAAUACCGGAGAAUGUUAUCACGGGAGACACACGGCGGGUGCUAACGUCCGUCGUGAAGAGGGAAACAACCCAGACCGCCAGCUAAGGUCCCAAAGUCAUGGUUAAGUGGGAAACGAUGUGGGAAGGCCCAGACAGCCAGGAUGUUGGCUUAGAAGCAGCCAUCAUUUAAAGAAAGCGUAAUAGCUCACUGGUCGAGUCGGCCUGCGCGGAAGAUGUAACGGGGCUAAACCAUGCACCGAAGCUGCGGCAGCGACACUGUGUGU